CAACCCAAUAGCUAAAAACAGCUGGAGCUCUGGGUACUUGCCGGUAGGGGGUGUGUGACAACUGUGGAAGAGUGAUUCGUUUUUACAUCUUGGAUAUGGCACCUACAGCAAGAGUAGCGUUGGCGUCGAGUUCGUUAUUGAAAAGUAAUCAGAAUGUUAUUUCAGCGGUUGCUACGAGAGCCAGUUCAUGGUGGUCUCAUGUUGAGAUGGGACCACCAGAUGCUAUUCUAGGAGUAACAGAGGCUUAUAAGAGAGAUACCAACCCAAAGAAAAUUAACCUAGGUGUUGGUGCUUACAGAGAUGAUAAUGGGAAACCAUUUGUUCUACCCAGUGUUAGAGAGGCAGAAGACAAAAUAAGAGCAAAGAAUAUGGACAAAGAAUAUGCACCAAUUGCUGGAAAUCCAGAAUAUUGUAAGCUAUCCAUACUCUUGGCACUGGGAGAUGAUAGUGAAAUAGUAAAAAAUGGUUUGAAUGCUACCUUGCAGGGAAUUUCUGGAACUGGAUCCUUACGUAUUGGUGCAGCAUUUCUUGAAAAGUUCUUCCCAGGCAACAAAGAAGUGUAUCUGCCAACCCCAUCAUGGGGUAACCAUACACCAAUUUUUAAGCAUGCUGGCCUUAAUGUAAAGCAGUACCGUUAUUAUGAUCCAAAAACUUGUGGAUUUGAUUUCCAAGGUGCUUUGCAGGACAUAGCAAAAAUUCCAGAAAAAUCUAUAAUUCUGUUCCAUGCGUGUGCUCACAAUCCCACUGGUGUAGACCCAAAACCUGAACAGUGGAAAGAAAUAGCGAAUGUUGUGAAACAGAAGAAGCUAUUUCCAUUUUUUGAUAUGGCUUAUCAAGGAUUUGCUUCAGGUGAUGUAACUCGUGAUGCUUUUGCAGUAAGGUACUUUGUCCAAGAAGGUCAUCAAAUAAUUUUGACCCAGUCAUAUGCCAAGAACAUGGGAUUAUAUGGUGAAAGAGCUGGUGCGUUUUCACUUAUUGCUGGGAGCAAGCAAGAGGCCGAUACAACGAUGUCUCAGCUGAAGAUCUUAGUAAGGCCAAUGUACUCCAAUCCACCCAUUAAUGGUGCUCGCAUAGUUACAGAAAUUCUGUCCGACCCAACUCUCAAAGCUAAGUGGCUGAAGGACGUAAAAGGAAUGGCAGACAGAAUCAUUUCUGUGCGCGCACAGUUGCGGGACAACUUGAAGAAGGAAGGCUCCACCAGGGACUGGUCACACAUAACUGACCAGAUUGGCAUGUUUUGCUUCACAGGCAUGAACCCACAACAGUCAGAACGUCUGACAAAGGAAUUCAGUAUCUACCUCACGAAAGAUGGCAGAAUUUCAAUGGCUGGUGUCACAACGAAAAAUGUUGAAUAUCUUGCCCAUGGAAUACAUCAAGUAACAAAAUAAAAUGGUGUAUGCUGCUCAUGCUGAUGAAUUCAGGUAACAGUGCUUCAAUUCACAUACCAGUCCGUGCAAACCAAUAUUUUAGACAACCAGUGAGAUUGUGAUGUGUAUUCGUGUUAUCAUUAACCUCUUCAAUGACAAACUGGAGGUGUCAAGCAAUUUUUGUUAGUACUUUGUUGUGAAAGCGUUUCCUUGUGGGUUUGAUAUUAUAAUUGUCUUGUGUAACUUUUUACAGCAGAAGUCAUUUGCAAUUAUAGGAGAUAUGUGCAAGACUGCUACACUGCAUUUUAUGAACUUUUUCUAGUGUUAACAUGCUUCAAAUAAUUGUUUUAAGUGCCACAGUUACAGACGUGUCUUUAGGCAUUGAUUAUUUAUGGACUUUUUCUAGUGUUAACGUGCUUCAAGUAAUUAAGUGCCACAGUUACAGGUGUGUCUUCAGGCAUUGAUUUUUUAAGAAGAAAAAAGAUUAUUUUUUCCAAACAGUCAGUGAACUAUGUUGCAUUAACAUUAGUAAGCUUUUGCAUUUAUUAGAGCAUUUUAUUAUAUUUGUAUUAGCUUAUUAGUUACGCUGGCAGAUCUUGCACAUGUAUAAUGUAUAUAAAUGUAAGUCCCUCAAAAAAUGUGAUCAGAAGCUCAGAGAUGUAAUUAUUGUUGUUAUAUGAAAUAGAAAUUUUUAAGUUACAAAUUAAAA